GGCCUGUCUUAAAUUAUAGGAAGCGUUGUGUUUCUGAAAUAUAUUACAAAUAUUCAAGGGGCUAAGGUUGUGUUUAACUUUGUACAUUAAAAUGCAUAUAUCCUG